GAAAGAUCAGGGACCCCGGGAGACUAAGGGUUGGGCGCUGGGCUCCUGCAGUCUUAAGGCACCAAAACCAGGCCACAAGGUGGUAAGAUGAGGCCAGCUUUGGAACCAGACAGAUCUGGGUUCAAAUUCUGGCUUUUUAGUUAUGAGACCCUGGGCAAGGCACAAGCUUUCCAAGUGUCAGUUUUCUCAUCUGCAAAGUGGAAGUGUAAAGACAAUGUAUGGAAAAUGCCUGCCAGCUGGUAAGGGGCAGCUGCUGCUAUUAUUAGUUUGACUCAGUGGGCUAUUAACAGUAGCUCAGGUGGUAGGAGUACAGUUAGAAUGAGGCUUAGGGGAUGGGGUUACUGUCACUGUGUUCUGGUACACGAGUUGAUCCAGUCCACAGACUGUGCCCAUAAGCCUUUCUUCAAGGAGAGAGAAUACCAGGUACUGGGCUAAAGGCCAGAGAUAGAAAGAAGGGAGAAAGCUUGAUCUCCUGUCUUCAAGAAUUUCAGAGCUUAGCACAAAGCCAGGCUCCCCGCUAGAAAAACAGCUUAAGAGCGUAUGCUGGUGGUGGGCUGCUAGCGUGAUCUCUGUUAAGGAAGCAUGAGCACCGGCACUGUGGCUGGAGGAUAAUGAUGCUGGAACUCUAGCUUUUCCCUCCUCCCAGAUCCGUCUUCCCUCACUGCAUCACUCCAGUUUCUUUACCUGAAAUAUUUCCCUUACUUCCUCCCAGUCACGUGUUCUGGGGCAAAUGGGUGGAUUGAGUAGGGGUGCGGGGCAACCUGCUUACUACACAGUUGCCGAUAGACGUUUUUCAGGAUGUGUAUUUUUCUUCCUCCUUUCCUCUCUUCCAACAUCUUUGCUAUAUUCUUUUCUGACACAAAUGAACUGGAAAAGGGAGAAUCUUUUGGGAGGCCCCAGGCAAGGGAGAUGAGGAAAUCCAGUACACACAGAGUUGAAAUGGGGCGAGGGGUAGAGACAGGUAAAGAACUAAAUGCCAUUUCCUAUUUCAAUGACAUUUUCCUCAACUUUUCCUGUUCUUCCCCCAUUAACUUGUACAGGUUUGGGGAACAGAGUGCGGUACAGUCCUGACUGGCCUCCAUUAGGAAGAAUAUCUGAGGUGUUGACCUGGAAAGCUGAUGAAUUAAUUUGCAUGCUAUUUCCACAGCAUAGCUGUAGGUUGUUUAGGGUGAAAAGAAAAGGAAAAAAAAAAAAACAACUUUUUCUAACUCCCGCUCCAGCCUUCACAAACCAAUGCUGCGCCGACCCUAGGGAAAUAGCUUUGCCUCCUUCCCUGCCCUCUCCCAGACCCUCUGCCAACAGUAAGCUCUACCUCAUUACACACAAAAAGCAGCCCCGAAGAAUCUCUCCCCUUUCUAAACCUUACAGGCAAGGGGACCCAGCCCCAUUCUGCAACCCUCAAAGCUCAGCUACAGCCCCUCCCCUUGACACUCCCUCCCCUUGCUGGGUUCGUUCUUUUUUCUGCUGUCUUCCUACCUCCGAGUCUCCCAACAACAGCAGCCAAUCCCCAGGCUGCUCUAGAGCCACACCAUAUAUGGAGAGGUUGAAAAGAAACCCGAGUAAAUGUGGGAGCGAACACCACACACACACACACACACACACACACACACACACACACACACACACACACACACACACACACACACACACACACACACACACACACACACACACACACACACCUAACACACACACGCUAACAGUUUUUGAGCGCCUCUCUGCACGUGACCCUGUGUCUAUUUGUCUGUGUGUUUGACACAAGUCCCACCUUUCCCUGCCCCUGGCUCACCCCACCCAAGAACGAGGAACCUGUUUGCUAUUCCCGGCCUUUAUUCAUGCCCCCUGAGACCAUCAAUCCAACCAGUUGCCUCUGACCUAGAUUCUCUGCACUAAUUACAAUCCUAACGAGAUCUAACAAACAUACAACUUAGCACAGCUGAGACCCUCGAGGUCAAUUAGUACAGCCCAGCUCAGCUCAGGAAAUGGGAGAUGGAGCCAGAAACUCUUGUACUUGCCUCACCCCGGCUCCGGCCCCAACCCCAGCCUGGGCUUGAAAGCAGCCUUGAGGAGAAUGCAAAAAUUAGCAAAACCAGCUUAAAAAUAAGAUCUUGGAGAGUUAACGAGUAUGGAGAGAACUGCGUUAAGGUUGGGGAGAAUUGGAGAAUACAGAUUCCCUGCUCUUCCUAAGUUAUCAGGUGGGAGAGGCUGAUGCAGCUACAGAAAGGAGGUACAUAGGCAGUUUUCAUUUUCGUAAAGACAAUACGGAGAAGAGUAACUUAGAGAAGAGCAGGUAACAUAGAACUGUUGAUCUGCAUCACAGCCUCCGACUUAUUCCCUCCUCCUCUUUGCUUUCUCCUUUGGACAAGUUGGAUUUAUCUCCCCUGUCUUUCCUGCUGGUUUGGAAUAGCUCUGAAAUCACCUCUUUCUUUCAAAAAUACUAGACUCAACCUCAUUCUUGCUUUUCCUCUUCCAUAUAGUAAAACCAUGACAGCAAACAGCCCCUUCCUCCUAAGAAACACAGAAAAAUCUAAAAUAAGGGUAAUCAGUUUUGGGUUGACAAAGUGUUGUCGGACAUUUGAGGAUGAUGCCUAAACUGUCUUCUAGAUGAAGAAUGAGAGGAAAUGGCCACAAGUGCUAACAAUGGGAAUGUAGUUGCUUUUGCAAAUUUGUCCUACCUGGCAGCAAAUGCAGCGCAACAGAAAGAAGAUUAAGCAGGGCAAUGUGGCUCGUUCCCCGUUUUACUGGGUUCCUUUCUUUAGGUGGCAAAACAAGGCAGUGGAAUGGUUGCCUGUCCUAUAUCCUCUGUGUGCAGACCAGUUGUCCUAACCUCAUCCCUAACGCCUGUGGCUCUAUCAAGGAGCGAGGUGGAAGGAGAGGGCUAGUGGAAUCCUCUACACCCGAGUGGGGGAGUGGACUUGGAGCCGCCGCAAGAGCAGAAUGUCCUUCUUCCCCCAGCCUUUACCCAGCCUCGUUCAGAGCGCUGCACCCUGCUGGCACCCUGACUCCUCCACAGUCCACUGCCGCAGCAACCAGGAACCCGCAGGGCAGGAUGAUUCACAUAGCAUCAUGUCUCUGCAAAUAAGAAACCUGGCCGAGCAUCUUUGGGAUAUGAGACCAUGUGGAGAAAGAGGCAUUGAAACGGCACGAAACCAUCCCAAACAUCCGAGCCUCUGGGCAAACGCAAGCUAAAUGCAGCACAACAUGCAAGACCAAAGACCAACCAUCCAGUCAGCCCACAGAAUUGUGAGAAAUUAAUAAAUCAUUGUUGUCUUAA